GGAGCAGCCCAGAGCCUGAAUCAGUGUGUGUGUUAGUGGAAGCGUCUGGAAAGGCGUGCGAUACAGGGUGACAGCCCCGUACACAAAAAUGCACAUACUGUGAGCUCGAUGAGUAGGGCGGGACACGUGGUAUCCUGUCUGAAUAUGGGGGGACCAUCCUCCAAGGCUAAAUACUCCUGACUGACCGAUAGUGAACCAGUACCGUGAGGGAAAGGCGAAAAGAACCCCGGCGAGGGGAGUGAAAAAGAACCUGAAACCGUGUACGUACAAGCAGUGGGAGCACGCUUAGGCGUGUGACUGCGUACCUUUUGUAUAAUGGGUCAGCGACUUAUAUUCUGUAGCAAGGUUAACCGAAUAGGGGAGCCGAAGGGAAACCGAGUCUUAACUGGGCGUUAAGUUGCAGGGUAUAGACCCGAAACCCGGUGAUCUAGCCAUGGGCAGGUUGAAGGUUGGGUAACACUAACUGGAGGACCGAACCGACUAAUGUUGAAAAAUUAGCGGAUGACUUGUGGCUGGGGGUGAAAGGCCAAUCAAACCGGGAGAUAGCUGGUUCUCCCCGAAAGCUAUUUAGGUAGCGCCUCGUGAAUUCAUCUCCGGGGGUAGAGCACUGUUUCGGCAAGGGGGUCAUCCCGACUUACCAACCCGAUGCAAACUGCGAAUACCGGAGAAUGUUAUCACGGGAGACACACGGCGGGUGCUAACGUCCGUCGUGAAGAGGGAAACAACCCAGACCGCCAGCUAAGGUCCCAAAGUCAUGGUUAAGUGGGAAACGAUGUGGGAAGGCCCAGACAGCCAGGAUGUUGGCUUAGAAGCAGCCAUCAUUUAAAGAAAGCGUAAUAGCUCACUGGUCGAGUCGGCCUGCGCGGAAGAUGUAACGGGGCUAAACCAUGCACCGAAGCUGCGGCAGCGACGCUUAUGCGUUGUUGGGUAGGGGAGCGUUCUGUAAGCCUGUGAAGGUGUGCUGUGAGGUAUGCUGGAGGUAUCAGAAGUGCGAAUGCUGACAUAAGUAACGAUAAAG
rnacentral:rRNA from 1 species